UGCAAUGAUUAUAUAAUUACACCGAUGGAAAACACACAUAUCUUUAAAGUAACCUUAUGUUACCCGACUGCACAAAGAGAACAGUCAACACUGCUCUUACUUUAAACACAGAGUGUCUUGUAACCUUCAUUUUCAAAGUAACAGGAAGAACAACAGUUUAUUGGAUAAGUAAGAACACGGUGCCGUCACGAAAGAAAAUUGGCAAAAGGCUGUAACUUCAGUGCCGUAAUUAGCACGUACUAUAUAUAAUAGGAUAAACACAAUUUGUAGAAUUUUUCUUUACAAAAACCAAAAGAAAAUACUUGUAAUUUUGGCAAUUACUGAAAUAAAACAAACACAAAAUUCAAAA